rnacentral:rRNA from 1 species
UACGGGAGGCAGCAGUGGGGAAUAUUGCACAAUGGGCGCAAGCCUGAUGCAGCCAUGCCGCGUGUAUGAAGAAGGCCUUCGGGUUGUAAAGUACUUUCAGUCGUGAGGAAGGUGUUAAGGUUAAUAACCUUAGCAAUUGACGUUAGCGACAGAAGAAGCACCGGCUAACUCCGUGCCAGCAGCCGCGGUAAUACGGAGGGUGCGAGCGUUAAUCGGAAUUACUGGGCGUAAAGGGCACGCAGGCGGUUAAUUAAGUUGGAUGUGAAAUCCCCGGGCUUAACCUGGGAAUGGCAUUCAAGACUGGUUAGCUAGAGUCUUGUAGAGGGGGUAGAAUUCCAUGUGUAGCGGUGAAAUGCGUAGAGAUGUGGAGGAAUACCGGUGGCGAAGGCGGCCCCUGGACAAAGACUGACGCUCAUGUGCGAAAGCGUGGGGAGCAAACAGGAUUAGAUACC